AUUGAACGCUGGCGGCAGGCCUAACACAUGCAAGUCGAGCGAGCGGCGGACGGGUGAGUCAUGUCUGGGAAACUGCCUGAUGGAGGGGGAGAACAACUGGAAACGGUAUCUAAUACAGCAUACCCUCAGAUGUGCCCCUAUGGGAUUAGAUAGUAGGUGGGGUAACGGCGCACCUAGGCGACGAUCCCUAGCUGGUCUGAGAGGAUGACCAGACAAACGGGACAUGAGACACGGCCCAGACUCCUACGGGAGGCAGCAGUGGGGAAGAUUGCACAAUGGGCGCAAGCCGGAUGCAGCCAUGCCGCGUGUGUGAAGAAGGCUUUCGGGUUGUAAAGUACUUUCAGCGGGGAGGAGUUACCCGCAGAAGAAGCACCGGCUAACUCCGUGCCAGCAGCCGCGGUAAUUC
rnacentral:rRNA from 1 species